GGGGAUUCCACUAACUUGAAGGGAGAGCGAAAGAGGAGGAUCAGUAUAAGGAGGAGGAAAGACAAGGAGCUCCGUUUUAGAGACUGAGUUUCAGAAAGCGGGAGGACAUCCAGUCAGAGAUGGAAGAAAGGCAAGCAGUGACACGUUGCAGGACAGCAGGGGAGAGAUCCCGGGGAGGAGAGAUAUAUCUGGGUGUCAUCAGCGUACAGGUGGUAGUGGAAUCCAAAUGAGGUAAUAAGUUUGCCAAGAGAGGCAGUAUAAAGAGAAAUAGAAGGGGACCAAGGAC